UACGUAGGGUGCAAGCGUUAAUCGGAAUCACUGGGCGUAAAGGGCGCGUAGGCGGAUCUUUAAGUCGGGGGUGAAAGCCCAGGGCUCAACCCUGGAAUUGCCUUCGAUACUGAAGAUCUCGAGACCGGAAGAGGUAAGUGGAACUGCGAGUGUAGAGGUGAAAUUCGUAGAUAUUCGCAAGAACACCAGUGGCGAAGGCGGCUUACUGGUCCGGUUCUGACGCUGAGGCGCGAAAGCGUGGGGAGCAAACAGG
rnacentral:rRNA from 1 species